GCGAGAAACCUUUGCAAUGUGCGAAAGCCUGACCCAGCAACGCCGCGUGAAGGAUGAAGUAUUUCGGUAUGUAAACUUCGAAAGAAUAGGAAGAAUAAAUGACGGUACUAUUUAUAAGGUCCGGCUAACUACGUGCCAGCAGCCGCGGUAAUACGUAGGGACCAAGCGUUGUUCGGAUUUACUGGGCGUAAAGGGCGCGUAGGCGGCAUGACAAGUCACUUGUGAAAUCUCUGGGCUUAACCCAGAACGGCCAAGUGAUACUGUCGCGCUAGAGUGCAGAAGGGGCAAUCGGAAUUCUUGGUGUAGCGGUGAAAUGCGUAGAUAUCAAGAGGAACACCUGAGGUGAAGACGGGUUGCUGGGCUGACACUGACGCUGAGGCGCGAAAGCCAGGGGGAGCAAACGGGAUUAGAUACCCAAGUAGUCCCUGAGCGGGCUGGCAAGGCGCAU
rnacentral:rRNA from 1 species